GACGAACGCUGGCGGCGUGCUUAACACAUGCAAGUCGAACGGAAAGGCCCUGCUUGCGGGGUACUCGAGUGGCGAACGGGCGAGUAACACGUGGGUGAUCUGCCCUGCACUUCGGGAUAAGCCUGGGAAACUGGGUCUAAUACCUGAUAUGUCCUUCCAUGUAGUGUGGGGGGUGGAAAGAUUUAUCGGUGUGGGAUGAGCCCGCGGCCUAUUAGCUUGUUGGUGGGGUAAUGGCCUACCAAGGCGUCGACGGGUAGCCGGCCUGAGAGGGUGGACGGCCACAUUGGGACUGAGAUACGGCCCAGACUCCUACGGGAGGCAGCAGUGGGGAAUAUUGCACAAUGGGCGGAAGCCUGAUGCAGCGACGCCGCGUGGGGGAUGACGGCCUUCGGGUUGUAAACCUCUGUCGACAGGGACGAAGCUUCGGUGACGGUACCUGUAUAAGAAGCACCGGCUAACUACGUG
rnacentral:rRNA from 1 species